UCCUCGGUAGCUCAAUGGUAGAGCGGUUGGCUGUUAACCAAUAGGUUGUAGGUUCGAGUCCUACCCGAGGAGCCA
rnacentral:tRNA from 1 species